rnacentral:misc_RNA from 1 species
AACAGGUGGAAGCUACUACAGGAUGUCGUGUGUAUAUUAGAGGAAGAGGGUCAAUAAAGGAUCCGGAUCAGGAGGAGAACCUGCGUGGAAUACCAGGAUAUGAGCACCUGAAUGAACCACUCCACAUUUUAAUUGAGGCGGAAUUACCUGCCAAUAUCGUGGAUAUUAGAUUGAGACGGGCACAAGAAAUUAUAGAGGAGUUGCUCAAGCCAGUGGACGAGUCACAGGAUUAUAUAAAGAGACAACAAUUGCAUGAACUUGCCAUGCUAAAUUCAAAUCUCAGAGAAGAGAGUCCCGGACCAAGUGGCAGUGUCUCUCCUUUCAAUAGUGGUGGAUUGAAACGUCCCAAGACUGGUCGUUGAGAAGUUCAGACAUUCCAUUUCUUGAUCCCAUAUCCGCGUAGCUACCUAAACUCGAGAUAUGAAUAGAGAAAGAGAAAGACAUUCCUUGCGCGGUUGGCAUUGUGGUUGGCUUGUGGAUUUUAUUUAUUUUUCCAGCAGAAGAAACAGAAAGA